rnacentral:rRNA from 1 species
UACGUAGGGGGCAAGCGUUGUCCGGAAUCAUUGGGCGUAAAGAGCGUGUAGGCGGUCCGGUAAGUCGGUUGUGAAAGUCCAGGGCUCAACCCUGGGAUGCCGACCGAUACUGUCGGACUAGAGUUCGGAAGAGGCGAGUGGAAUUCCCGGUGUAGCGGUGAAAUGCGCAGAUAUCGGGAGGAACACCUAUGGCGAAGGCAGCUCGCUGGGACGUUACUGACGCUGAGAAGCGAAAGCAUGGGGAGCGAACAGG